rnacentral:rRNA from 1 species
UACGGGGGGAGCAAGCGUUGUUCGGAUUUACUGGGCGUAAAGGGCGCGUAGGCGGCCACUGCAAGUCAGUUGUGAAAUCUCCGGGCUUAACCCGGAAAGGUCAACUGAUACUGCAGGGCUAGAGUGCAGAAGGGGCAACUGGAAUUCUCGGUGUAGCGGUGAAAUGCGUAGAUAUCGAGAGGAACACCUGCGGCGAAGGCGGGUGCUGGGCUGACACUGACGCUGAGGCGCGAAAGCGUGGGUAGCAAACAGG